rnacentral:rRNA from 1 species
UACGUAGGGUGCGAGCGUUGUCCGGAAUUAUUGGGCGUAAAGAGCUUGUAGGCGGUUUGUCGCGUCUGCCGUGAAAAUCCGGGCUCAACCCCAAGCUUGCGGUCGAUACGGGCAGGCUCGAGUUCGGUAGGGGAGACUGGAAUUCCUGGUGUAGCGGUGGAAAUGCGCAGAUAUCAGGAGGAACACCGGUGGCGAAGGCGGGUCUCUGGGCCGAUACUGACGCUGAUGCGCGAAAGCCAGGGGAGCGAACGGG